rnacentral:piRNA from 1 species
UGUCAGUGGUCACUGCAUAUUACCC